UUAACUAUUAUAUAGUACUCAGACGACACUGACAAUCAGAAUUUGUCGGGCCUCUGGCGGGCGCGCCAGCCGGAGCCGGCGGCCGGGCUAGGCCCAGCAGCCCGCCAAAGCAACACGGUAGCAAUAACAGUGGGUGGGAGAUCUACCCGCGAGGGCGAGAACUCUGUAAUGAUCCCUCCGCAGGUUCACCUACGGAGA
rnacentral:misc_RNA from 1 species